CAAUAGCGUAUAUUAUUGAUGUUGCAGUUGAAACGUUCGUAGUCGAAUCUUAUCUGCCAAAGCAUCAUGUCAUUUAUGAUGACAUAAUGCUCUCGGCAGAGAUUGUACAAGCGUUUGCAUGUGUUUCACAUGUCUGACCUUGUAUCUUACUUUGAGUGAAUCGGCGUGUUCCACGCAGGCAUGUGCCUUGAACGAUUUACCAUAGCAUAAUCAGAGUAUGGAACUGCUUCCUUGUUUGUUCGGAAGCUCUUUCGAUACUGAUAGGAACGGUUGAGGGCAUUCGUAUUCGACUGCUAGAGGUGAAAUUCUUUGAUUAGUCGAGGAUGAACUACCGCGAAAGCUUCUGCCAAAGACGUUUCCUUUG
rnacentral:rRNA from 1 species